AUAGGAGCAGGGGAGAUACCAUGAUCAGGAAGGUGGUUUUCCCAGGGCGAGGCUUGUCCAUUGCACUCUGGAUGUGCUGACACUUGUGAUUCCCCCAAAUGUGGGAAACCUGACUGCAUAAUGUGUGGUAGUGGGGAACUGUGUUUGCCCUCUCCCCUA